UGCAUAUUGGUCACCCGGAUUAGGUCAAUUUUUAGAGCUACUUAGGUUGGUUUUCUGGGUAGGGUUCCUUCACCAAAAUUGUAGCAUUAUGUAUCUAGUUUCACCUCCAAUUGGCCUUGCACCAAUUGGAGCUACACAAGUUCAGUUAAGGCUCUCCAAACACACAGGACUCCAAGAGUCUAGACUGCAGCACACAAGACAGCCUACGCUUUCCAACAUUCAAUGACUCAAUUCACUUCAUAUUCAGUUUAAAGCUUACCAAAUAGUCACUACAUGACCAUUACAACAUAAUUUUGUGUUCAAUUGCAUCUACUCCUAUAUUUGAGUUUCAAACCCUAGCCCUAGAAUUCUAAAAUUUCAUUUUCUUACACUAAACUCAUAAACUAAUAUUUUGAGUGAUACAAUCAUAUCAAGGGCAGCCUAUUCACUCAUUUAAUCCAAAGAAAUCAUCAACACCAUAACAAGUCCAUGGCUGCCAAAAAAAAAAGGGUAACACUAUAACAUGUUUAUUUUUAAAGAAAUUACAUAUAUCCUAGCUAAAAUUUUCAUUCUAACAAGAAUUUAAAGGAAAGAGUUAAGGAAUUGGACACUAACCUUACUUGAGUCCCAACUUGAGCUUGUAAUUCUUCGAUAUUUUUCCUUCUAAUGGUUGCCCCAAGCUUGAUCUAGUGAUAAGGGUAAAUUUUAAUAAAGGGAGGAUGAGAUUUAUGUUGGAAUUUAGUGGAGUUUGGAGCUUAGUGGAGCUUUCAUGGAGUUUUCUUUCCUCUCUCUCUUUCUACGUUUUUUGUUGCCCAAAGGUUGAAGAUAGCUAUUUAGUUCUUUAAUUUUUAUCUCCUUUUAUUCAUGUUUAAGUAGUUUAUAAUGAUGUGUCAAAAUUUGGUUGGGUGAAAAUAUUUUAAUUACAUCAUGCUUAUGUCAUAAAUAUGACUUUUAUUUCAUUUUUUUUUUCUUUUCUACUCAUUUUUAAU
rnacentral:misc_RNA from 1 species